CUUAAAGUUCAAGGCCCAUAAAUGCCUUCCCCUAAUUUGACUCACCGUUCGUCCUCUCUCUAUAAAUCCAAAACCCUAAUACUUUUAAUCCAAGUCAGUCUCCAACGCCGACAAAAUUUCAUCUUCUUCCUCUUCAUAGUUUUUCUACUUUCCGUUUAGUGUUUUUUGUUUUGUUUUUGAGAAUGUGAUUAAGAUUGCUUUGGAAAGGCGUUGCACUCUUUCGUA